rnacentral:rRNA from 1 species
CCUACGGGAGGCUGCAGUGAGGAAUAUUGGUCAAUGGACGCAAGCCUGAACCAGCCAUGCCGCGUGCAGGAUGACGGCCCUACGAGUUGUAAACUGCUUUUGUACAAGGGUAAACGCAGAUACGUGUACCUGUCUGAAAGUAUCGUACGAAUAAGGAUCGGCUAACUCCGUGCCAGCAGCCGCGGUAAUACGGAGGAUUCGAGCGUUAUCCGGAUUUAUUGGGUUUAAAGGGUGCGUAGGCGGUCGGAUAAGUUAGAGGUGAAAUCCCGAGGCUCAACUUCGGAAUUGCCUGUGAUACUGGUCGGCUAGAGAGUAGUUGCGGUAGGCGGAAUGUAUGGUGUAGCGGUGAAAUGCUUAGAGAUCAUACAGAACACCGAUUGCGAAGGCAGCUUACCAAGCUACUACUGACGUUGAGGCACGAAAGCGUGGGGAGCAAACAGGAUUAGAUACCCCUGUAGUC